rnacentral:hammerhead_ribozyme from 1 species
AUCCAGCUGACGAGUCCCAAAUGGGACGAACCGCGCGUUUGGGAU